rnacentral:rRNA from 1 species
AUAGCGAAAUCGCAUGAUUAUGCUAUCAAAGAUUUAUCACUCAAAGAUGGGCUCGCGUCUGAUUAGAUAGUUGGUGAGGUAACGGCUCACCCAAGUCGACGAUCAGUAGCCGGACUGAGAGGUUGAAACGGCCACAUUGGGACUGAGACACGGCCCCAGACUCCUACGGGAGGCCAGCAGUGGGGAAUAUUGCACAAUGGGGGAAACCCUGAUGCAGCGAUGCCGCGUGGAGGAAGAAGGUUUUCGGAUUGUAAACUCCUGUCUUAAAGGACGAUAAUGACGGUACUUUAGGAGGAAGCUCCGGCUAACUACGUG